rnacentral:rRNA from 1 species
GUCCACGCCGUAAACGAUGGAUACUAGAUGUCGGGGGCUCUUGUCCUUCCUGUGUCGUAGCUAACGCGAUAAGUAUCCCGCCUGGGGAGUACGUCCGCAAGGUUAAAACUCAAAGAAAUUGACGGGGGCCCGCACAAGCGGUGGAUGAUGUGGUUUAAUUCGAUGCAACGCGAAAACCUUACCUGGGUUUGACAUCCUGUGCUAUGCCUAGAGAUAGGCAGUUCCUUCGGGACACAGUGACAGGUGCUGCAUGGCUGUCGU